UGAGCAAUCUGCCCUUCUCAUCGGAAUAAGCGUUGGAAACGACGUCUAAUGCCGAAUACGACCUCCUUUCGCAUGAUCGGAGGUGGAAAGCUCCGGCGGAGAAGGAUGAGCUCGCGGCCUAUCAGCUAGUUGGUGUGGGUAAUGGCCCACCAAGGCGACGACGGG
rnacentral:rRNA from 1 species